GGUAGGAGGUGUUUUUAGUCUUUUUUAAUUAAUCAAAAUGUAAUUGUAGCUUUAAUAACUAAAUAACUAAAUAAUUUGUAUUUCUAUAUCAACCAUUCGGUUGCCAUAGCAAUCUGCAAUCUAAAUAAUAAUGACAUAUACAUUUUACUUUCUCUUAUUGAAGACUACAUCAACACUAAGAAAGUGAAUACCAAGAUUUAUAAUAAACCAGGAAGGAGCUGUGUAUUAUGAAGUAUGCUUUCUAAUGUUCAUCUAAUUAUCUUAUUGUGAAUACAUUUUGUACAUGUAUCCUGACAAAGUGAUUAAAUGAAAGAUCUGUUAAUGCAGAGUAAGAUUAAAUAGCAUGAUCAAUAGUAUUAGGGCAUGUAGGUGAAGGGAUAUGAAUAAUAUAAAUAACUUUCAACAACACAUACAUCUUGUUUAUGUAGUUCUAAGACAGACAUAGUGUCCUAAGUCAGGAGUCUGUUGUUCAGUGGUUGUCGUUUGUUGGUGUGGUUCAUUAGUGUUUCUCGUUUUUUACAUAGAUUAAUUAGACCGUUGGUUUUCCUGUUUGAAUUUUACACUAGUCAUUUUGGGGACCUUUAUAGCUUGCUGUUCGGUGUGAGCCAAGGCUCCAUGUUGAAGGCCGUACUUUGACCUAUAAUUGUUUACUUUUUACACAUUGUGACUUGGUUGGAUAGUUGUCUCAUUGGCACUCAUACCCCAUCUUCUUAUUUAUAUAGAUGAAAAAAAAGAAUGAACAUGGGAUGAGACACUUUUAAAUAAAUUUUGGGUCCUAAUGGGCAGGCAUAACUUGCUUGAUUUACAUGUACUGGUAUUUCUCUUAUGGUUGUGGGCUGUUAUCUAUUUUUUGCAUGAAUAGAUAUGUCUAUCACACUGCACGGAGUGUGAUACACAAAAAGAGAUACGAAAAUCUGCGUUAAUUUGUUUGGCUUAUCCAGCAUCAUAAGACGAUAAUACGGCAUUUCCAUUGGCUGUUUGUUAGGUCAUUGGUGACUUUCAAAGGUUAAGACGAUGUACAUUUCGUUCAUGGCAACGGACAUGUGUGUUUUCUUCAAUAAUAUACAAAACACUCACACUUUUCACCUAUCAAUUUUCUUUUUGUCAAAUUUUAUUUCAUUCUGAAGCAUACAAAAUGUCGUAAAAUGUCUGAUGUUAAAGUUCUACACCGGAAAAGGACACAUGGCGUCAUACUGGUAUGUGCAAAAGAGUAGAUCAAAGAUUCGCGGAAUUUUUAAUUAAACACAAAGAGAGUGUUGACCAUAAGAGAAAUAGGUUUAACAGCGUGGUGAUGAGUCACAUUGGUUGAUAGUAAUAACGAUGAAAGGAGGACAGGAUUGUGGCUACAACAAAUGGAACAUAUCCAUCAUGUCCAUAGUCAUUUUUAAAACAGAUAUUCUUUCAUGUUCUAUCAGAGUCAUAUGUAUGUCUCUGGUUCCAUCAAUUCAUGAUCAUCAGAUGGUGUUCUUUAAACUAAACUGUCAACUCGUCUUUACUUGUUUUGCCAUGGUGCUGUCCGUUUUCUUCGUCUUUUGGGCUUUGAUUGUUCCCUUGCUGUCAAUUUUCGCAACAUUUUGAAACUGCUUGAAAUGUGAUUGUCUUUUACUUUUAAAAUUCUUGCUCCCGGAUUCCCAAAAAUACAAACUUCAAAUUUUAGUCAUUUGUGCAUUACAUCUACUUUUAGUGAAAAGGUAUGAGUAUUUUUUUAACUAAAUUAUAAGAUUGUAUUAUGCACCUAUUCUGUUUUAGAGCUCCUGUUUACUAGCCUUGUUCGUUUAAUUAACUAUUUAUUCUUUGGUUUGUCUGUAUGCACGGAGUUGUAUUGUGACAGAUAUUUGACAUAAAUUUUUGAUAAAGAUGACGUUACAAUUAUUCCUUCGAUUUUAUGUUUAUCACGUUUUAUAUUAUUGUAAUAGAAAAAUGCAAUUUAUUUUAUUUCAUAUAGUUUAUUAGUUAAUGUAUGUAAGUUCUACUCUGUAAACUAUUUUAUAUAAAAUUAUUGUUUAACUGUUCUAUACAUUUUCAAAGCGUAGGAUUUUUCAAAUAUGUCAAAUAAAUACUUUAACAAACUAUUGAACGUAUCUGUGCAAUAAAACUUCAGCUGUGGCCAAAUGGACCUUCGAUUAUAUGUCCAGCAAAGUUUAAUAAAACAUCUUAAAAGUUCAGACAACGGUCAACCCACGUCAGCAACUUUAUUUGUGUUAAGCUAUAAAGCACAAACUAGUUCCAUAGUUACUUUUGAUUAAGAUCUAAAUUAAUAUUUAUAAUGUUAUUUUAUACUAUGUUAUAUGUAUUUACGUUGUAAUUGUUUUAUAUUAUAGUUAGGGAAAUGUUAAUAAAUAUAUUCGAAACAUAGGUUGGCAAUUUUAGAAUAAGAAAUUGAAGAGAUGAAAGAAAAACCAGUUUUAUGUGACGUGUAAUUUCGACCUAAUCUUAGACCAUAACUAUAUUUGAGCAUUCUAAAUUUUAUUGAUAACUCAUAAAUCAUAAAUUCUUUUGUUGGUUAUAGUCUGUUAAGGGUUACUAGGACAUUCAAAACUUAGUAUAUAAACUGAUCAAGCCGCUAUACUAUUAAUAGCGAGUUUCUUGAUAUUCUAGGUGAGUCUCUUGGUUUUGAAAAUAAUUUAGAUUUAAAAUUAUUUUUCUUUUAAUUUUAUUUUGAAAAAAUAAAUAAAGUUUAUAAGUAACUAAUAUUUUAAUUCAGAGGUUUAUUUUAACAGUAAUUAUCAUUGUUAUUAUUUGGUAUUUAACUUGAAUUGUUUGUAGUAUUUUAUCAUUGUUUUCAACUUAUUUUGACUUCAAAAUGUGUACUUUGAAAUUAGAUUGUAAUUAUUUCAAUGUUUUCUUUAUUAAAUUAAUAGCGAGUUUCUUGA